GUGUGAACUAGGGUGGUAUUAUGCCACUUGAUGGCCACCCUGUGCAUGUGAAUUAUACGUUUUGCAAGGUUAUAUUAGCAUUGUUCAAUAGAAUAUGUAGCCACUAGAAACUAAUCCACCACUCCCAUCAACACAGGUGAUGCUGAGAGGAAAGUUGGAGCAUGGAGAUACAGGAAGAAUACAAGGGAGAUUGCUAGGAGUUUGCAGGAGAAUUUGCUGGAGCAGACACACAGGCUGGAGAGACCACAGAGAAAGCAGGAGACAGGACGACCCAGCAGAAGACGAGCCCGAGCCCAGCAAGAGAAUAUGGCUUGCUUAAAAACUCCUCGUCUAAGGGUCCUGAGCACAAAAUCAAAACAGACACUCUCGAUGAACACCCCCUUUGAUUGGGUUCACAGAGAGGGCUCCACAGCCUCCCCUUGGAGAAUGAUCGAUGUAGACCGCGGGAGACAGAAUGAGGAGCCCCCUCUCCCCUCCUCUCAGCUGCACUGACAGCUGUGUCCGAGCUACAGAAAGUAUCAGAGCAAAAGCUCAAAAAAAAAAGGCAGCUUCAGGAGAAUCUCCAUUCAAGAUCUCAUUACUGAAGUUAGUUGAAGCAGAAGAUAGGAACGAUAAUAGUGAGGAGACUGGGGGUAUUUUAAGGUUUUUACUGUAGCCAUGUGUUUCUUAAGUGUUCCUUUUAUAUAUUUUCACCUUAGAUUUUAUUUAUGGGGUAUGCUUUUUUAUUUAUUAUACACUUUAAGGUUUAAUUAUACAAGUACUGACUAAUAUUAAUUAACAAUGUGUACUUAAGGUUAGAAUUAGCAAGGAACAUGUUUAAUAUUCAGAAGGGUCCAUGAAUAAUCGUGUAUUAAUACCUGAGAUAAUACUUACUUCAGUAUGAAUCAAUGAUUAGAGAAUACAUUAAAGAAAGAACUGAGCGCCUAACCUUAACUAUGACCAGAGUCAUAUGGAUUCAUGCAUGAAUAAUGGCAACCUUAACUAAGGUUAGUACAUGUUUCAUUGUUGAAUAUAUAAUUUUAGGGGAAAACUAAACCAAACAGGCUCCAUAAGAAUAAACGAGAAGUAUUCUGACUUUGAAAUAAAUGUGAAUAAUAUUGUCAUAAGAUUCUGCAGCUUCGUCAAUAAACAUCACUGGAUGGUACAUUGGUUUGUGGCUAUUUACAUGGAUCUUUGUUUUCAAAUGUAGAAAAUACUAUAUACACUACUAACAAUAACUAUCACCAAUAAGUUGAUAGUUGUUUUUGCAUGAUUCUUUCCCUUCAAACUCACCCUAGUCUGUGGCUUAUACAAAGUUUGUACAAAAAUUUGAUGCCUCACUUUAGAUAUUCUACUAACUAUAAGUAACUUUGUAACUACAUGUCAACUAACUCUCAUUAGAGUAUUAGUAGACUCUCUGCUGAAAAAUCUGCUAACACUUUAUUUUGAUGCUCUCCAACAGACAUUCUACUGACUAUAAGUAACUUUGCAACUACAUCCGAACCUAAAACACCUAACCCAAACCUAACAGUCUACUAAUACUCUAAUGAGAAUCAGUUGACAUGUACUUACUUACAGCAAAGUUACUUACAGUUACUUAUUAUUUACAGUGUCUAAAGUGGAUCAUUGAAAUAAAGUGUAGGGCUGAGCAAAUAUGGGUAGAACUCUUUACUGCCCUAGUACUUCAGAAAUCCCUUUAAAAGGUAUACAUGUGAAUUAAACAUGGCACAAUGGCCUUCAUCAUCACAGUAUGCUAAUGCCUAUCUAGUGCGAGGGAUUCAUCAAUAUGCUGAUUGUGGACUGUUGGGACACUCCAGGCACAGGAUGGUUCUGUUUGGAGAGACAGAGUCGUUUACACCUCAACACACCUCAUCUGUACCAUUUGCUUCACAUGACAUAUAUGCUUUCAACUGCAUGCUAUUUAUCUACUAGUGUUUUCUAACUAACUAUGUCAUGUUUGGUCUCAUCUGACAGUUUAUAAACUGAACUGAAUGGCAGUGUACUUAAUGGCGACAUUAAAGUAUCCUAAUGUACAAUCUAGGUAUUGCUUAAACAUGCAUUGAGGAGAAUAUGCUAAUGUACUUCUUCCCCUCUUGAUCACCACCCAUUUGCCAUAUCUUCUGGCUUCCUGUCAGUUGGUUUUGGUGUUGGUAUUCCACUCAUGUAUAACAAUGCUUUGCUCAGGGUAUAAGAAGGAAAGGUAACAGUUGUUCUGGAAGAAAGGCUUUAACCCCGCCACUCCGGCACAUCGAUGCAUAACCUCUUAAUACAAGAAAGGCUUUUAAGGCCUCUUCUGCACAGCAGUGCAUUAUUCGUUACAACUAAGUUUUCUAUACAGUAUGUUGUUCCAUUCUGCUGUCUGUAUAUUUAAACAUGUAACUUAAUAAAUAACUUUGCCUGCUUUAAAGGUUUUGAGAAUCUUUCCUUUUGUAACUGAUAGUGUUGAAAGCUAAAUUGAUUGAUUGACGUUCAGGUUAAAUCAUACGUUUUCCUAUCAGUUCUAAGAAAGACUUUUACCUUUAAUGAAUAAGAGGUAAAAAAUAACAACUUUAAUGGAGUCAGAUUAAUUAUAUUGGAGUCAGAUAAAUAACUGAAUUAUGCACGUCAUCCUUCAACUGCUUUUUGUUUCCGAUUAUUGGUUCAAAAUAUCAGCGUAAGCUUCCAGCCUUACAAAAGUGUUAUCCAAAAAAACAGAAAAGAAAAGAAAAAAAAAGGUUUCCAAAAGAAACAACUAACCAGGAACCAUAUACACCACAGUCUGGAGAACGCAGACACAUCCAGAUGCAGAUCAUGACCAUAUUUUACC